rnacentral:rRNA from 1 species
UACGGAGGGUGCAAGCGUUAUCCGGAUUCACUGGGUUUAAAGGGUGCGUAGGCGGGCAGGUAAGUCCGUGGUGAAAUCUCUGAGCUUAACUCAGAAACUGCCAUGGAUACUAUUUGUCUUGAAUAUUGUGGAGGUAAGCGGAAUAUGUCAUGUAGCGGUGAAAUGCUUAGAUAUGACAUAGAACACCAAUUGCGAAGGCAGCUUACUACACAACGAUUGACGCUGAGGCACGAAAGCGUGGGGAUCAAACAGG